UAGGGUGUUGCGUUCACGUCAGCAAGAUGGAUACUGUGAGGGUUCAUGCUGUAUGGUAAAGAUAUACAACGAGCUCUGUCUUGCUCAACCCCUAGCAUACGGGCGCUACUUAUCUUCCUGCUUUUCUUCACUUUUUUUUAAAAACAAAUACAAUACUGAGGACACUUAUCUAUACAUAUAUCAUAUAUGCGUAUUUACCUGUACAAUGUUAUGCAUUUAUAGUAACUUUUGUCAAGACCUGGAUCAAAUAAACGAAAAGUUCUUUAAUUUUCUGCUUGUGUGUGGAUUUAUUUUGAUCACUGAGGCUUUGCUGAAAACAGUCGGUAUGAGAAAUAAAGCGACAGCAACCUUUGACAGCAACGUUCUCUACCAAACACAUAUAUCUUUUCAAUACUCAAGCAAAGAAACUGAGAUGAUAUGAAAUGACUCUUGAGAGUGUGCUUCCCGUUGAUCCGCUAGAUGGCAGGCAGGCAGGCAGGCAGUAACCACCCACGGGCCACUCAGGCAGUCCUCUCGCUAGUACUAUUGUCAGUGGCAGUGACUCGUAUCAAUACCUUAAUCGUGUGAGAUCUGCUUCUUUAGAAUCGUCUAAGGCUAUUCCAAGAUGGGACGCCUUUCACAGAGCCGCCGAGAAAAAGUGUGGUGAGGAGAGGGUCGGGCGCCCAGAAUCACCGAACACCCGAGCAAUUGGACUGUGCCGAGGAACGACCCUUUGACCUUGAACUGCGGCGCCGAAGGAAAACCGGACCCUGUCAUCACCUGGUUCAAGGACGGCGCCCCCCUGAAGGACUCCUCGCACCGCAUCAUCCUCGGCCACGGCUCUGUCUUCUUCCUGCGGGUGUCCCAGGGCAAGAGGGAGAAUGACGCCGGGGUGUACUACUGCGUCGCCAGGAACAGGCUGGGGAGCGCCAGGUCUGCCAAUGCCUUCAUCCAGAUUGCUUUUCUGCGGGAGGACUUCAGAGCAUCACCGGCGUCGGCUCGCGGGUUGGCCGGGGAGCGAACCGUCCUGGACUGCUCACCGCCCCGAGGCCACCCUGAACCCAUAGUCUCCUGGACCAAGGACGGCCACCCUCUCGCUCUUGAUGACAGAGUGUACGUGGAGGAGGGCGGCAGCCUCGUGCUGACGGAGACGCUGCAGACGGAUGAAGGUGCCUACGUAUGCACGGCGUCCAACAUGGUGGGCACGAGGACCUCCCCACCAGCCAUCCUCGCCCGUGAUGGGUGAGUUGUGU